UACAGAGGUCCCGAGCGUUGUUCGGAUUUAUUGGGCGUAAAGGGUGCGUAGGUGGCAAAGUAAGUUGGAUGUGAAAUCCUGGGGCUCAACCUCAGAAUUGCAUUCAAUACUGCUUAGCUAGAGAGCUGUAGAGGAGACUGGAAUUUACGGUGUAGCAGUGAAAUGCGUAGAUAUCGUAAGGAACGCCAGUGGCGAAAGCACUCUGCUGGGCCGACACUGACACUGAGAGACGAAAGCUAGGGGAGCGAAUGGG
rnacentral:rRNA from 1 species